rnacentral:lncRNA from 1 species
CCCAGCAGUAAGUGCUAAAUAACCCACUGCAGGAAAUAUGACUGCUUCUCUCUGGGAGAAAGGAGAUGGAGGCAGGUCUCCUGCAAACUGUGGGUGCAACGUUGCCUGCAGUGGGGAAAGCAGUGGAUGCACCCACCCCCCGGGGAGGCAGAAGAGGGAGAAUGUGAGGGAUGAGCUCUUGAAGGUAGGUGGGUGGGCUAUGGGGG